UAGGUCGCCAUCAUGGACUCGAGUCAUGUGCAGCCAAUCAAGCUGGCUAGGGUCACCAAAGUGCUGGGCAGGACCGGCUCGCAGGGACAGUGCACACAGGUGCGCGUGGAAUUCGUGGACCACACGAGCCGCUCCAUCGUCCGCAACGUGAAGGGGCCCGCGCACGAGGGCGACGUACUCUCCUUGUCUGAGUCAGAGCCGGACGCCCGGAGGUUGCGCUGA